GUUGUAACCUGGUCUUACCCUGCAAAACUAUCAAGAAAAUGAAGGGCUCAAUGCUUCAAACUGAGCGUAUAUGCAAACAUUGUGCUAAGUUAAGAAAGUCAAAACAAUGUUGUGGCAUAUGCANNNNNNNNUGGCACCAUUCAGAUGGUGGAAAUUGGGUAUGUUGCGAUGGUUGUAAUGUUUGGGUGCAUGCUGAGUGUGACAACAUUUCCCGCAAACUAUUUAAGAAUCUGGAGAAAAGUGAUUAUUAUUGUCCUGAUUGCAAAAUAAAGUUUAAAUUCGAACUAUCUGCUUUAGAGAGAAGAAUGCCGCCAGUCAAGUCUAAAGGACAAGCUAUACCCCCUGACGAAGUAACCGUGGUGUGCAAUGGGAUGGAAGGAACAUAUAUUCCAAAACUUCAUUCA
rnacentral:misc_RNA from 1 species